GAUGAACGCUGGCGGCGUGCCUAAUACAUGCAAGUCGAACGAACAGACGAUGAGCUUGUUCCUCUCACGUUAGCGGCGGACGGGUGUGUCACACGAGUAUAACCUACCUAUAUGUCUGGGAUCACUUCGGGACACCGGAUCUAACACGGGAGAAUAUAUUGAACCGCAUGGUUCAAUAGUAAAAGACGGUUUUGCUGGCACUUAUAGAUGGAUCUGCGCCGCAUUAGCUGGUUGGUGAGGUAACGGGUUACCAAGGCGACGAUGCGUAUCCGAACGGAUAGGCUGGUCGGCCACAUGGGAACGGAGCCACGGUCAAGAGGCCUAAGAGACGCAGCAGUAGGGAAUCUGCCGCAAUGGGCGAAAGCAUGACGGAGCAACGCCACGUGAGUUAUGAAGGUCUUGGGUGCGUGAAACCCGGUUACUAGUGAAGAACCAAUGUGGAAGGAGCCAAGCCGGUCUUGACGGUAAUUAGUAAGAAAGCAACGGCUAACUACGUG
rnacentral:rRNA from 1 species